ANAAUUUGCAAUCAGGGUAAGGGCAGACGGGAACCAGCCUGCCGGCGUUACACCGACAGCUCUGAUGGUUGCAGUUCUUUGUUAGGCCUAAAACUUCCGAAGCACCGUAAAGUAAAUACCUGGGGAAACCUGNUAGNUUAACUUUGAAAUGACNGAAUGCUAUUNUUUGUAUCAGACCGGGAAAUGUCAGUGUACUCGCCUGUCAAACGUGAAGAUUNUGAGUAGCGGGAUGACGAAAGAUCAAGGGAGGAAUCUAAAUGGAAGUUUUGGCGAAGAGGGAUGAAAAUGGAGAGCAGCGAACUGGAUUAGAUACUGAAAGUAAUUUAUCCAGUAAGCGAUGGGGGAUUUGGGGUAAGGUAACUCCGAGUUGGUAUAGUGGGGUAAAGAAGGGGUUAAGUCCGCNGGUUGGGAAGUACGGUGGCAAGAUUGAAAAUUAAAGGAAUGGGGGGGAGAGCACCACAAAGAGGGGAGCCUGUGGUUUAAUUGGAUUUAANGCCGGACAUCUCACCAGUGGGGACAAAUGUAUAAUAGACAGGUAAAUGGAUUUGGUUGAUUAGUUGAGAGGAGGUGCAUGGCCGCCGUCAGAUUGCACGNUGAGGCGUCUUGUUAAGUCAGGCAACGAGCGAGACCCACGCCCUUAGUUACCAGGUUAUCCUUUUUUGGAUGAUGGGCACAGUAAGGGGACCGCCAGUGAUAAACUGGAGGAAGGAGUGGAAGACCGUAGGUCAGUAUGCCCCGAAUCCUCUGGGCAACACGCGGGCUACAAUGGUUAAGACAAUGGGUUCCGACACUGAAAGGCGGAGGUAAUCCUCUAAACUUAGUUGUAGUUGGGAUUGAGGACUGCAACUCGUUAUCAUGAAGAUGGAAUGUGUAGUAAUCGAGUAUCACUAUUGCGCGGAGAAUACGUCCUUACUCCUUGCACACACNGA
rnacentral:rRNA from 1 species